CGGAGCAACGCCGCGUGAGUGAAGAAGGUUUUCGGAUUGUAAAACUCUGUCCAUAGGGAAGAAACAAAUGACGGUACCUGUGGAGAAAGCCCCGGCUAACUACGUGCCAGCAGCCGCGGUAAAACGUAGGGGGCAAGCGUUGUCCGGAAUAACUGGGCGUAAAGGGCGUGUAGGCGGCCUUGAAAGUCAGUCGUGAAAUCCAUCGGCUUAACCGAUGGCUGGCGAUUGAAACUACAGAGCUUGAGUGCAGUAGAGGGGAGUGGAAUUCCCAGUGUAGCGGUGAAAUGCGUAGAUAUUGGGAGGAACACCAGUGGCGAAAGCGGCUCCCUGGCCUGUAACUGACGCUGAGGCGCGAAAGGUGGGUAGCAAACAGGAUUAGAUACCCUGGUAGUCCACGCCGUAAACGAUGGGUGCUAGGUGUUGGGGGUAUCGACCCCUCCAGUGCCGCAGUUAACGCAAUAAGCACCCCGCCUGGGGAGUACGGCCGCAAGGUGAAACUCAAAGGAAUU
rnacentral:rRNA from 1 species